rnacentral:misc_RNA from 1 species
GUGCUAGUGUUGGUGAUGUUGAGGUAGUGUACAACUUGUAUUUAUAUUUGCUUGAUUGUUGGAUUCCUUGUCGCUUCUACUUGCUAGGGUAUUAAAUAUUGUUUGUAGUGGGUGAAACAUAAUGGAAUUUGAGGGCACCAAUUCAAUAUUUUCCAUUUCAUAUAAACAGAGUUGUAUUGGCACAAAUUGGUUGAAACAGAAGGGUGAUUUGAAAUGAGCCACAUCAUUGCGCGCAUAAAAUAUCAUGGGCUACUUGAUUUUUGGGUUGCUGUCAACAUCUUUUUUCCGUAUUAUAUAUAUAUAUAUAUAUUUAAAAAAAUAAUUUCUGGUUGUAAUUAUAUAUAUAUUUAGAUCUGUAAGAUUUAUAUACUUUUUGAGGAGUUUGCUUUUAUCUACAGUUUUUAGUGUCUAUUAUUGAAUUUCAGGUAUUUAAUUAAUCACUCUAUUUAGGAAUAAUGAUAGAUGACAAUGGAUAUUUGUUUGAAAAUGUUGUAUAUAUUAUGGGUCAUGUGCAAUUUGUCUAAAUUUAAAGUUUUCAUAAUUUUUAGAUUUUUUAAUUUAUCAAUAUAAAUUAAAUUUUCUGUUUAAAUUAUAAUUUAUUUAAUUUUGGAUUUAUAUUUAUAAAUAAUAUUUUAACUUAUUAAUUUUUUCAGUAAUUUAAUAAUUUUUGGACUUUUUUUAAUUUAUUGAUCUGAUGCCUUACAUUUUUAGUUCAAUCCUUAUUUUGUUGCUGAUUUUAGUUAUUUGACUAAUGGUUUAAAAAGAAAUAACGGUAUUGGCUGUUGAUUUGGAAGAAUUCAGUCUGAUUCCAUUGCACCAUUUCCAAUUCCAAUUCGGAAACCUUCCUCGAAAUGGCUUCCGAAUUUUUUAUCUAAUACCCUGUUACUCAUCUUUAUUUUUGUUCCUAUCAUAAAUAGCAUCUUGAUGUUCUGGGUGAUAUUGAAUUUGUUCUUGUGAUAACAAGUUCUAUUCUUCUUCAUUAUCAAAAAUUCUCAUCUUAUAUAUAUAUAUAUUUAAAUUUUAGUUUUAACUUCAAAUAGCUAAAGAUAUUCUGUGUAAAUAGAAAUUAAAGUUCUCUUUGUUAAUCAAUUAGGGUUUGAAAAAUGCAUUGGCUUCUGGUGCCAACAAGGAUGAAGAGGAUUCAGAGGGAAGAACAGCAUUGCACUUUGCAUGUGGAUAUGGGGAGGUAAAGUGCGCUCAAAUUCUUCUUGAGGCAGGAGCAACUGUU